rnacentral:rRNA from 1 species
UACGUAGGGGGCAAGCGUUGUCCGGAAUCAUUGGGCGUAAAGAGCGUGUAGGCGGCCCGGUAAGUCCGCUGUGAAAGUCGGGGGCUCAACCCUCGAAUGCCGGUGGAUACUGUCGGGCUAGAGUGCGGAAGAGGCGAGUGGAAUUCCUGGUGUAGCGGUGAAAUGCGCAGAUAUCAGGAGGAACACCGAUUGCGAAGGCAGCUCGCUGGGACGUUACUGACGCUGAGACGCGAAAGCGUGGGGAGCAAACAGG